GACGAACCGUGGCGAACGUUGUUUCGGAAUCACUGGGGCUUAAAGGGCGCGUAGGCGGGGCUGACAAGUCUGGGGUGAAAUGCCGCGGCUCAACCGUGGAACUGCCUUAGAUACUGUCGGCCUCGAGGAAGGUAGGGGCAUGCGGGAACUGUAGGUGGAGCGGUGAAAUGCGUUGAUAUCUACAGGAACACCCGGUGGCGAAAGCGGCGCGCUGGACCGUCUUCUGACGCUGAGGCGCGAAAGCCAGGGGAGCAAACGGG
rnacentral:rRNA from 1 species